rnacentral:misc_RNA from 1 species
CAGGGUUUCUCCGCUUCUCCUCCAGCAGCUCAGCCAUGGCGGACGUUGAGGUCGAUGUGGCCUCGGGGCAGCCGAAGCGGAGGACGUUCCGCAAGUUCAGCUUCCGCGGCGUUGAUCUUGAUGCUCUGCUCGACAUGAAGAAUGAGGAGCUCGUCAAGCUCUUCCAUGCUCGAGCUCGCCGUAGGUUCCAGAGAGGUCUGAAGCGUAAGCCGCUGGCUCUGAUCAAGAAGUUGCGCAAGGCGAAACAGGAGGCUCCUCAGGGAGAGAAGCCUGAGCCAGUAAGGACUCACCUGCGCAAUAUGAUCAUCGUGCCUGAGAUGAUUGGCAGCAUCAUUGGAGUCUACAAUGGCAAAACCUUCAACCAGGUUGAGAUCAAGCCUGAAAUGAUUGGCCACUACCUUGCUGAGUUCUCCAUCUCCUACAAGCCGGUCAAGCACGGCAGGCCUGGUAUUGGUGCCACCCACUCUUCUAGGUUCAUCCCUCUCAAGUAAUGUGUCAGUUUUCAGUGUCCCUCUGGACUAGUGUUAUUUGUCUUCCUUGUUGAACUUGGUUCUUAUUUUCAG